AUUGAACGCUGGCGGCAUGCCUUACACAUGCAAGUCGAACGGUAACGCGGGGCAACCUGGCGACGAGUGGCGAACGGGUGAGUAAUGCACCGGAACGUGCCCAGCAGGGGGGGAUAGCCCGGCGAAAGCCGGAUUAAUACCGCCUACGACCCACGGGUGCAAGCGGGGGACCGUAAGGCCGCGCGCUAUUGGACCGGCCGAUGUCAGAUUAGGUUGGUGGUGGGGUAAAAGCCUACCUAGCCGACGAGCUGUAGCUGGUCUGAGAGGACGACCAGCCACACUGGGACUGAGACACGGCCCAGACUCCUACGGGAGGCAGCAGUGGGGAAUUUUGGACAAUGGGGGCAACCCUGAUCCAGCCAUGCCGCGUGCGGGAAGAAGGCCUUCGGGUUGUAAACCGCUUUUGCCAGGGAAGAAACGCUCUGGGCUAAUACCCCGGGGUAAUGACGGUACCUGAAGAAUAAGCACCGGCUAACUACGUGCCAGCCGCCGCCGUAAUAC
rnacentral:rRNA from 1 species